GGAGAGGUCGCAUAGUGGCUUAGUGCGCACGCUUGGAAAGCGUGUAUGGGGUUAUACCUCAUCGAGGGUUCGAAUCCCUCUCUCUCCG
rnacentral:tRNA from 1 species